rnacentral:tRNA from 1 species
GAAAGGAGCACAAGAACUGCUAACUCCUACCACUGAUACUAAAACAUCAGCCCUUUCU